CACUCCUUGUAAGUCUCUAUGAGCAGCUGUCACUUCUGUUCCCUGGAACCUCUUUAAGCCUAAGAUCAGACACAGCUCUGGGCUCCUGAUCCCAGCUUGUCCUUGAAGUAUGAGGCUGGUGACUGGAGUAGCUGUGCUUCUGACCUGGGGGACUGUGAUUGAGGCUGAGAUUGACCAGCCCAAAUCCAGGGAUGUUGCUGAAGGAGAAGAAGUAACCCUGCCUUGCAACCACGCUACCUUUGGUGGAAGUGACUAUGUACACUGGUAUCGGCAAAAUCCCACUCAGAGUCCACAGUACAUCAUUCAUGGCUUACGGGACACAGUGACAAACCACAUGGCCUCUCUGACCAUAGCGACAGACAGAAAGUGCAGCACCUCGGUCCUGCCCCGAGUCCCCUGAGAGGCAGCGCUGUGUACUACUGCGCCCUGACAGAGGCACAGAGCCCCCUGGGGCUGAGGUGCAGCUAUUCCUACAGUGCAGACCCUUAUCUCUCCUGGUACAUCCGGACAAUGUCGUAUGAAGGGAAAAGGCUUUCUCCCCGCAGCAGUGCCCAGUUACAGGCGUUCCCUCGUCACUCGUCAGAGCGCAGCGGAGGCAUGAGGUGGGGCUUCCUGUCACACGGUGUGGGCUCGAGCAGGAUUUGUCGGUUGAGCUGCUUGGUUUCAGGGGCUGGAAUGUUUCCAGAACCAAUCAUGAGACUCACCAUCUGA